GAUGAACGCUGGCGGCGUGCCUAAUACAUGCAAGUCGAGCGAACGGACGAGAAGCUUGCUUCUCUGAUGUUAGCGGCGGACGGGUGAGUAACACGUGGAUAACCUACCUAUAAGACUGGGAUAACUUCGGGAAACCGGAGCUAAUACCGGAUAAUAUUUUGAACCGCAUGGUUCAAAAGUGAAAGACGGUCUUGCUGUCACUUAUAGAUGGAUCCGCGCUGCAUUAGCUAGUUGGUAAGGUAACGGCUUACCAAGGCAACGAUGCAUAGCCGACCUGAGAGGGUGAUCGGCCACACUGGAACUGAGACACGGUCCAGACUCCUACGGGAGGCAGCAGUAGGGAAUCUUCCGAAAUGGGCGAAAGCCUGACGGAGCAACGCCGCGUGAGUGAUGAAGGUCUUCGGAUCGUAAAACUCUGUUAUUAGGGAAGAACAUAUGUGUAAUUAACUGUGCACAUCUUGACGGUACCUAAUCAGAAAGCCACGGCUAACUACGUG
rnacentral:rRNA from 1 species